GGCAUAUCAAGUUUAAACACCGGUUCUCUACCGAUCAUCGAAAUUAAGCAACGCCGAUCCUGGUCAGUACUUAAAUGGGUGACCGCUUGAGAACGCCUCGGAAUUG